AGCAGAUCGAAACAUGGAUGCAGCAGUAUCAAUGAAGUCCGAGUGAUUUGCGUUGCUCCACUGAAUAACGAUAAAGAUUUAUUUGAGAACAUCAAUAAUCUGCAUUUCAUAAAAUGAAAAUACUCACAAAAGCAGAGUUGACUGAGUCCACAAAAUUUUCUUCAUCCAUACUCUGAAGUUGAAGUGCAUGUUCAUGUGAUGUGGACCAAACCAAAGAGCUGGCUGUAUCAGAGAGCUGAGUUGAUAAUAUGAGACAAAAACAAGGCAUCUCCUCAAAUGCAUAUCACUGCAAGGAUUUCAUCAAAACCUAACAUCUUAAUAAAAUCAUGAGAGGC